UACGUAGGGUGCAAGCGUUGUCCGGAAUUAUUGGGCGUAAAGAGCUCGUAGGCGGUCUGUCGCGUCGGCUGUGAAAACCCGGGGCUCAACCCCGGGCCUGCAGUCGAUACGGGCAGACUAGAGUGCGGUAGGGGAGAUUGGAAUUCCUGGUGUAGCGGUGGAAUGCGCAGAUAUCAGGAGGAACACCAAUGGCGAAGGCAGAUCUCUGGGCUGUAACUGACGCUGAGGAGCGAAAGCAUGGGGAGCGAACAGG
rnacentral:rRNA from 1 species